AACGUAGGUGGCGAGCGUUAUCCGGAUUUACUGGGCGUAAAGCGUGCGCAGGCGGCGCGUUAAGACAGGUGUGAAAGCCCCGAGCUUAACUUGGGAAUUGCGCUUGUGACUGGCGUGCUGGAGUGUGGCAGAGGGAGGUGGAAUUCCACGUGUAGCAGUGAAAUGCGUAGAGAUGUGGAGGAACACCGAUGGCGAAGGCAGCCUCCUGGGCCAGCACUGACGCUCAUGCACGAAAGCGUGGGGAGCAAACAGG
rnacentral:rRNA from 1 species